UCUCCUUCCUUACCCAACUUAAUUCUUUAAAUUUGCAAGUUCUGUUCAGCAGAAAGGGCCUUUCUGGUGAUCUUGCAGUUAGCCUCUUAACACCGUAUAACUUCAGAGUUUUCUUACACUAAAUGCUAGUAAGGCAGUAAAAAUGCACUCUCAGCCUUAGAUGGAUAUCCAGGAAAGUUCAAGUUAUUGUUCAGAAGCACUGGAACUUUCUAAUUAAUCAUGUCCAGUAUUUGUUCUUUUGGCAAAAUAGUAUAUAUGCAUCUUGGGAUUGCACUGCUUUGGCUUUGACCUGAAGCAAGGAUAUAACUGUUAGUUUUGAUAUGUACUCCCUCCUCACCACCACCCUUAUAAUCUCAAAAUUAUUAAAUGGGGCUUUAUUUAUCCUUUAUAAGAGAAAACCCUUUUGAAGUAGGAGAUAGGUAUAGUUAUCUGUGGUGCCCAAAACAAUUAUCUUGUCCUUCUUCUGUAGCAAACUUAGUUUUCAAGAUGUGGCCUAAGUGUUUUAAGGCAACAAGAAGGGAUGAUUUUGUGGUUGAGGCACAAGGUCUUCAUUAAACUUUAGAUUCUGGUCCUGCAAAAUUCUGCUAGUAAUUUAGGAUUAAAUCCCAUAGAGGACUUGGAUGCUUGUGCUCAGUUCUGCCAAUUGCCCACCCAGAACUGCAGUCCGGAGCCCCGAUGACAUUUAGGGUCUGUGAGGGAUCCUGGCAGGAGAGCCCUUAUAUUACCUGAUAUUUUCAUCUGGGUCCCUUCAAGAUCCACUGUAGCUCUGCUGCUCUCAAAUUCCGUAUGGUGGCUGAUAAAAGUUGCUGUAGCAAGCAUGUCUCAUCAGCCCAGUGCAUGUCCUGUCCUUGCAGGUGUUACAUGUGUGUGGCUGGGCCUGGAAGCUGUCCUUCUUAGCAGACACUGCUUCUUUGAAAUGCCAGGUUUGAGGUUUAGCUGGAAGAUAUAACUCUGUAUUUCCUUUGUCAGCUUCAGGGAAUCUAAGUCAAACAGGAAUUGAAUGAGGGGCAGUAACUGUUUAAUUGUAAAUCUUCAGUGGUUUUGCAAUCAAGGUAAAAGUAGUUACCUGAUGCAUGUGUUGCCUCCUUUCAACUCAAUAUUCAUAGAACUAACAAAUAGGGAAAAGAAUAAUUUUUGCACAAUAUUUUUCGCUGACAGCAAUUGAUUAAUAUUUCAGGCUACACAGAUACAUGUUUUCUAAACAUAAGCCCUACCAAAGUUAAAUAAAGAUCCUUUGUAACUUAAAGCUCUAGGCAGAUACAAGAUUUUUCUUUAGUGCCAGUGGUAUUAUGAUUUGAGAAUGCAAUUAUUUUUUUUAUUCUAGGCUGUCAUGGAAGUAGGGCAGUUAUUGAAAUUUGUUCAGACUUCAGUAAAUUUUCUGUCUAUUGCCUAGGAAUUAUGACUUUUUGAUACGUGAUAGAUUGAACUAAACUCUUGAAAAUUAUACAAAACCAGCUUUAUAGUUAGCCACAGGAAGCAUUUUUAAAUUGUAUCUGUCAAGUGCCAAUAUUGAAGAUCAAUUUUUUAUUAUUUAACACAGCUGAUAGUUAAUGUUAAAAAGAAAGGUUUAUUAUUCAGAAUACACAAACUGUUUCUGACUUCAGGAACUGCUUGAUCAUUUUCACAUCUCAGCGUUUUCCUUUUCUGUUCAGCCACAGAGCAAUGCCAUGUGCUAAAAUGACAUUGUGAAAGCUAAAACCUUGAUGGUGUGUGUUAAAGAGAUAAGGAAGAACAUGUACCUUUUGAAGGGGAGUGCCAGUUUCUUUAAACUGAGUGCCGUGCUGAUAACACUGUUUGCUUUUGGUAGCCUACUUAGUCCAGAUAGUCUUUUCAGUGCUAGAUAAUCUUUUCAGCCCAGCCAAACUCAAAUUCUGAGUAAUUUGUUUAAUAAAAAAAUUAAAAAAAAAACAAGGAAAAACCCCACAUCAAGACCUUAGAGCUCUGUAAUUUGAGUUUUCUUGAAUGUGGGCAAAAGCAAUUUUGCUUUCUUAUUUUUGGGACUGUUCUUCACUCAUACAAAGAACUGUAUGUCUGUUUCCUUUACUGAACUUGUGAAGGAGAAAUCACUUUGGCAACGAACAGGGAAAGAAGUGUCAUUCUCAGGCAGUCAUGACACGGGAAAGGUAAUAGUUAAUUACUUUAUAAUGUGCCUGAGGCAAACAAAGCGACAAGUUUGUGCAGUGGGAUUGUUUUUUCCAAUGCCAAGUGCAGUUGAGGAAAUAGGAAGGUACUGAGCUAAGUUUGGUCAGGACUGUUGCAGCAUUUUUCCCCUCAUAACACUUCAAGAGUAUACUCUGUUUCCCUCUCCUCUCUCUAAGAACUGGUUAAUUAUUAAGCCUUGGGAGAUACUGUCAGGAUUGGAAAGAUGGAUGUGCCAAGGAAGAGGUACCAGAGCCAAGGCUGGGCAAGGAGGUGCUCUGGGAAGACUGACUGGAGGAGAGAGACAGUGGAGAGCCGAAGCAGGGCAAGUCCAUGCCCGGCUGUCACAGACUGCUCUGAUGACAGGCUCAGCUGCACUGGGCCUCCUGAUGGUUGUCCUCUCUCACCCCUUCUUCUUUCCCAAGAGUGAGCUUUGUGCUGCUCCAUCCGUGUCCCUAAUACGGCCACCUCUUCUCAGCCACAUCCUCUGCCAGAUACAGUCCACCCCCCUCACUUAGAAAACCACCAAAUGAAGGUUUUGUGAAAAACAGGUUUGUGUUUGCCCUUUACUAGCUAGAAUCAGAAUUGGUUAGCUCUGAGGCUUGCUCCCUUCAUCAGUAGCUACAUUAUUUCUUCUUUAGGAUCCAGAGUAGUCCAAUCAAAAAAAAUAUGUAUCAUGCUGCUGUUCCUGAUUGUCCUCAAAGUUCCACAUAGUGACUGUAUAUGCAUUUGAAAGUGUUCUGGUCUGUGGUGCUGGCUCAGGAAGCGGGUCAGACUGGACUGAACUCUGGCAUGAACAGAUAGUCUGUUUCAGGUUUGCAUCUUUCCCCUUGCGCUUCAUAUGAAUCUGCAAAGAAAGAAAGUGAGCAGAGGAAGAAGAGCUCUGGGCUGGAGGUGGAGCAAGAGCUCUCCUACCAACUAAGAUAACCACAAACCCAAAGUGCUCAUCUGGAGGUGGUCCUUGGCUGGGGCUGUUCUUCUCCCAGCUGAGAGCGACUCUGCUCCCCCUGGCAAGGGAGUCAAACCUGUCCAGUCACCUGCAGCCCCAAGGUACAGGUAACAAAAUGCCAAAUAUUUUUCUCCAUAAGAACAAGCCUCUUUCAUCCAGCUGCACCUCUCAGCUCUGUUGCUGAUGUUUUCAUGCUCUCUGCCUGUGGUACAUGCUGCAUAGGCAUGACCAAGCACUGUCAGUGCAGAGCACUGGCAAACUCCCAAGGGAUCUGCAGUAAACAAGUGGCAGGCAACCAGACAGUAAUGUGAUGGCCACGCUCUGCUGCGAGUGGGAUUAUGCUGUUGGAGUCCUGCUGAGAAGUGCAACUGAUCUGUAUGUCUGCAGCUGUGGUGGGCUGGAGGAGGUGUACUGAGCACUCUGUACUCAAUCAACGAGAUCGAGUCCUUAUGCCUGUGCAGAUGACCUUCACAUCAGUGGUGGGAUGAACUUUGGCUUGGUAGUUAAACCAGGAGGAACUCUGCUGUGUUUUGUCCAGUUGAAAUUGAUGGCAUUGCUGGAGGAAGGUGAUGGCUGUGUGGGUGAAUGGGACCUGACUGCACUCCUGAAGAGACUCAUGAAGGAAUAUGGGCAAAUCCACUGCCUGCCCAGGCUGAGACACUUCUGAGAGCCAAAUUUUUAUCCUUCACACCCUGAGCCUUGAGUGCAGCUGUGGCCUUCAGGUCCUUGGCUAAAGUCUUAUUUUGCAAGGGAAUGGCAGAGACAGACCGAGUGAAAGUGUCUUUCCUGUAAUGGGGGAAUCUUAAGGUGAGUUCAGCAUUUGCUGAAAGGAAUAACCUGGUAUCUCUUCUACACUGCCUUAUAAACAGCACAGAAGUGCUUACUAAUUUUAACACAGUAUUUUGUCACGUCAUUAUUAGUGGGAGCAAAACUUACAGCUGUCAGUGAACUCUGAGACACUUGUAAUCCCUCCUACCUCCAGCAGAAGUUGCCCGUAUCCAGCACCUCGGCAGAGGCAGCCUGAGACAGCCCUGUGCAGCCCUUCCUUCCCCAGUGUGCCGGGCUAAGGCUGCUCGGGAAACCUUGGAAGAAUAACACGGUGUAUUUGCUGCAGUAUUUUAAGCACAAAGACAUACCAGGCUAUGAUUAUCUUCCAUGUGCAUGUGAACACAUGGAACAUAGUGUAAUUUAUGGUUAUGUUAACAUUGCAAUGCAUGAGCUGCUAAGGUGGCUGAUUGAGCAUCAGCAGCAGCCUGCAGGUUGGAUUGCAGCAGGCAUUGAAGUUUGAGGGAUGCUCAAGGGCAGGUUCCUCUUGAUCCUUCGAUCUGCAUGGCAUUUGGUGAGGUCUACGUGGAGAUGAUCAUCUCACCCUCUGUUUUCAGCGGGAUGGAUUGCCCUGGGCUUCCCCAGGAGUGUAAUAGGCAGCAGUGGGUGGGGACUGAGAGCAAGUCACAGGAACAAUCCUUGCAGUGCUGUGUGUGCCUCAGCCUAAUGAAAGCCUGAUAAUUAGGAUUGCCAUUUUCUUUAUUUUUAAUUAUGAGGUAGCACUUUAUUGUGGAGGGCAAAAGUAACCCUGUAAUUAGUCUGUGUGAUUACUCAGUGAUUAGCCAGUCUCUGAUGCUGCAGACACUCGGGAGAACCCUUGGCAGGCUGUCACAGGUCUACGUGGGUUGGACGGGACCCUUGGCAAAAUUUCCCCAUCCUCCUGCUGAGGCCAGGCACAGACCAGGCAGGGAUGAGGACAGCACGAGGCUCCAAGAACAAGUGGAUGACCUCUGGUAGUGAGGUACAGCCAUCCAAGAGACUCUGGCUCGGCUUCUGUGGGCUGCUGAAGCCUCAUCAUCCACAUCCCCAGUGCACUGAAUCCAGUUUCUUUCACCGCACGGGCAGAGGCUGGGUCUGCCAGCUCCAAGCCCCAGCCACGCUGACAACCCAUGCUCACUGGGAGCAGCCUCCUGGCACAGGGCAUUGCUGAGCACUGCAGUGACAGCAACGUCCAAAUGGUUGAGGGCAUCAGCCGAGAAACUAAUGUGUUUAUAAAACAAAUUGUUUAAGAAAGAAAGAAUCAAGGGGUGCAGAAGGCUGCUGUGAGCAGCCCUGUGCUUCUCAGCCAUCUGGCCCUAGUCUGUGUUGGUCCCUGGGGUUGUUCCUCCCCAGGGGUAGGAGAUGGCAUCGCCUCUGCCCGGGCAGGUUGCAGCCUUGCCUGCCUCACUUGGAUCUGAAUGGCCAAAAAGUUUAUGUGGUCACUGCAGCGAGAGCCAAAGGGGCUUCAUUGGGCAUGAGGGAGGAGAGCUGUCCAUUGGUGCAGGGAGUGGCUUGGUAUCAAGUGGCUGCCCAGUGCUCUGCGGGCUCCUAGCUGGGCUUAAAACAUGCUGAAUGGGUUAAUUUUUCCUUCUGCUGACAAGCCCAUGGCAGGUGGAAACCCUGUUCUCAGCUCAGCCUCCACUGCUGCCUGCACCCCACGCUCUGCUGGGCUAGCGUGGGGGUUUCUUGUCCCCUUCUCUCACCCCCGCCACGUUUGCUUCUUUAGCUGAGCCAUUCUGGGGGCUGGCUGGUAUUUCAGUCACUGAAGAAAUUAGUAACUGAUUUAUGUAACAUCUCGCGUGACUGACUGCAGGGUCUUCACAGAGAUGCAACUGCGAACAAGCACACUAUGGGCAGAGUAAGAAAAAGCGGCCCAGAACCUCUCCCACAGUGAACCGUGGGCCAGGCCAGAUGCCACUCCACUGUCUUGCAGUGGCACCUGUACCUGUGCACUGUGGCUGUGUCCUGUUUCACUGCAGCUCAGCUCUGCAGGCGAGGCCCAGCAACCAUGUUCCCGUGUCCUUCCCAGGACCAGCCAGAGCAAGUUCCUGCCUUGAAAAGGUGCUUCUUGUCCUCUGUUUGUACAGGUCUCAGGCCAGGCCCCAUCCCAGCAGCUCAGCACUCAGCACUGAGUUGUCUCACCCAGAGCCCGUUCAGGCUGGCGUCACCUGCCAGCAGCACCUCUCCUGCCACCUCUGCUCGGGUGCAUCGAUGCCCAGGGGAUGCUGCAUGCUGCCAGGCAAGCUGCAUUUCAGCAGCAGCUGGGUGCUGUCAGCUCUUGCUCCUCCUGGCUCCCUGCUGAGACUUUGGUGUCUGUCUCUUACCUCCAGUCAUUGGUGCUCAUGGUGGGGCAGGAGGGAUGGUCACCCCACACAUGUAUGGGGAAACCUUGGCAGAGCAAUGAUGGGACAUUGGAUCUCAGUGUUCCCUGACUCUCCAGGGGUUGAAGCUUUCAGCUUGGAUGGUCCAGGGGCUAUUUUGAGCAUGUGUGUGUCUCUGGACUGCUGGUGGCAGACCUGACAUCCCUGUGCAGGAAUGGAAACUCCAUUGGUUCAGCAGGGGUGGGUGGGAAGGCUAAGCAACGUGCCAGCAUCCCUCUCAGCAGCUGAGAUUCAGUAGUGAAGUCUAAGCAGGAAAUAACAAAGAAAUGCUUGCAAAUUAAAAAUGCUUUUGAUGUGAAUAGAAAUGGUUAUAACAAUCUGGAUUUUUUUCAUGUAAAUAAGGCUCAGAAAAUGUGUUUUUUCAAACUGACAUGCAGUGAGCUCUAGUAGGUGUACCCAUCUCAGGAUAAAAGGAACAGAAGCCGCUCACUUGACGAACCUUAAAGCUUUCUUAGAAUUACAAAAGGAAUAAAUGAUCUUAAUAAUAUUAACUCCUUGGUGGUCACCUGAGUCUUUGUGACCAGUAUUCAUCACAUCCCAGACAGUGUAGUUUUAAGCUUGCACAAAAGACAACUUCAGAUGUUCUCAUGAUCUCCUUUUCAGCAGCGUAAGGUAUUGAUAAUACUCAAAUUAAAUUCCACCAUGAGCAUGUCCAUUUCAGUAAUCCUUGGUGUGGGAAGACAACCACUGCCCUCACCAGUGAAGGAGCGCCCUGUGGCAGCUUCCCUUGGCCUCUGCUGCAGCCUCAGCACAGGAGCAUCCUCCCCACCGGUGUCUUGGAGGGGGUCUGGUGGACAACAGCAGGCGAGAGGAGAGGGUCGGAGAGGAGAGGGUCGGAGAGGAGAGGCUGUGGGAGCUGGGACACUC